UUACACAUGCAAGUCGAGCGGAGAGAGGNGCUUGCACCUUAUCUUAGCGGCGGACGGGUGAGUAAUGCUUAGGAAUCUGCCUAUUAGUGGGGGACAACAUUCCGAAAGGAAUGCUAAUACCGCAUACGUCCUACGGGAGAAAGCAGGGGAUCUUCGGACCUUGCGCUAAUAGAUGAGCCUAAGUCGGAUUAGCUAGUUGGUGGGGUAAAGGCCUACCAAGGCGACGAUCUGUAGCGGGUCUGAGAGGAUGAUCCGCCACACUGGGACUGAGACACGGCCCAGACUCCUACGGGAGGCAGCAGUGGGGAAUAUUGGACAAUGGGGGGAACCCUGAUCCAGCCAUGCCGCGUGUGUGAAGAAGGCCUUAUGGUUGUAAAGCACUUUAAGCGAGGAGGAGGCUACUGAGACUAAUACUCUUGGAUAGUGGACGUUACUCGCAGAAUAAGCACCGGCUAACUCUGUGCCAGCAGCCGCGGUAAUACAGAGGGUGCGAGCGUUAAUCGGAUUUACUGGGCGUAAAGCGUGCGUAGGCGGCUUUUUAAGUCGGAUGUGAAAUCCCCGAGCUUAACUUGGGAAUUGCAUUCGAUACUGGGAAGCUAGAGUAUGGGAGAGGAUGGUAGAAUUCCAGGUGUAGCGGUGAAAUGCGUAGAGAUCUGGAGGAAUACCGAUGGCGAAGGCAG
rnacentral:rRNA from 1 species